GUUAGAAAUAGAAGUUAUAUAAAAAACAACAGGAAGAAGAAGAGGAAGAAAGCAAGCCAACAUGAAGGAGGAAAGGGAAAGAAAGAAGAAAAGGAAGAAAAAAGGAAAGGAAGGAAGAAUAGAAGGAAAGAAGAAAGGUAGAAAGAAAGAAAGGAUUAAAGGAAGAGAGAAAGAACUGACGAAUGAAGAAAGAAAGGAAAAAAAGGAAGAAAGAAAGGAAAAAGAAUUAAAGGCAUCUUUUCCCCCUCAGUGUGCCCAGGGCUCAGGUUGUGGCAUUUUGCACCAAGCAUCCCUCAGGUUGUGCUUUUCCUUAGGAGCUCUCAAUCAGCAGAUUGCAACUCUCUUGAAAGGAAGACUUUAUUUCUUUAGUGCUGUGAGAUAAUAAAAAGACAUCACUUUGUGACAUCUUGUGAUGGAGGCCCAGCUUCUCAGCCUUGCCACCUCAAACAUCAGGUCAUCCUUUCAAGGUGAGUCCAACUUGGUUAUCUGAUUACUGUCCUUAAUUAUCCCACCCCUGAUGAGCAGCAGCUGCAGCUUCUGCCAAGUCCCCCUGGCAAGCCCAGAGGGCAAGCUAGGACAUCAACAUGAACAUGCUCACCCUGCUAACGAUGCAUAAUCACAAGUGCCUCCCCACUUCUGAACAUUUUUAAGAGUUCAUUCACCUUCCAUAUGCACAUAGGAAGCAAUUACUUGGGUGGCUUUGAGCCCAUGCUUUUUGCCACAAUGACAUCCCGCAGAGAGCACUAGCAGAAAUCCUGUCCCUGAGCACUGUCUCUGCUGAGCCUUCUGUCUGUGCUGAGACCUGGCCAUGCUUGGAGGUGCAGGUGACAGACAGCACGUGCCACCCUGCCUGGGCUGUCACAUCACCCUCUGGCCCAGCACGCAGCUGCAGCCCCCCCUGGGCAGUUGUGGUAGCAGCAGCAGCAGCCUCGCACAGUCUGGGAUGCUCACAGCUCGGCUGCCCUGCUCACGCAGCCUGCAGCUUUCCUCUCCUGUUGCACAGCGUGCGUGCUUUCCUUCCAUUCCUAGCUGCUGCCUUGGUUAAAAUAAACCACAGGGUCCUCACUACUGAGUGUUAGGA
rnacentral:lncRNA from 1 species